UGAUGGUGGUUUGAUGGAGGAGGCCACCUGAAAGUCAAUUGUUAAGGCCUUUGAGAAGGAGUGAGUGGGUUCUUCCUAAAGAGGAGUAGGGUGGCUUCUAUUAAUGCUUCAUGUGCAGCUCACAUUACGUUUCUCUUGAAUGGUGCAGCCUUUGAACACAGAUGCCAAAGAUUAUCUGCAGUCACUGUGUAGAAACUGGAAGGACUCCCACCCCAAAUUUGGUUUAGAUGUCAAGGCUGAUAUGCUGCACACAUAUCAAUAGUGUAAAAAAAGCACCGCAUGGAAAGCCACUGGGAAGACAAGAAGAUUGUUUCUCCAGGGGCUGCUUGCCGUAUUUUGUGAAUCUGUUGAGAAGGAGAAAGUGCUGAAGGAUGAUGGUGAGGCAUAGAGCAGCCACCAGGGUCUCUCUCUUGCUAGGCAGUCUUGGGUCAACUUCGCUGAUAUUGCUGACAAGGUGGCUCGAGAAAGUGACUUGAAACUUAAAUACUAACUCAACAUAAAAUGAAAAGGAAGUUAAGAGUCUGAAAAAAACACAAUCCAAAAACAAAAACAAACUUGUGAGAACAGAGUGGGCAUUGUGCACUCACUUCUUUUGACAUUAAAGUGGCUUUGACUCGAGCCAGGAAGCUCACACACCUACAUCUUGCUUCAGGAUUAAAAACUUCCAAGAGAGGUUAUUAGUCCAGGGACAGAGGUCCCUCAUUGCAGGAGCAGAGCUUAAAUGCUUUACAAAGAAAAGGAAAUAAACUCAUUGGAAUUUGUUUUGAUCCUUCCAGGAGAGUUGUUUUGAGAGUACAGUGUGCAUUUUGGAAGCCCUGACUGCUUAAAAACACACUUGGGAAGGAAUUGGUUUUAAAACCUGAAUCUUUGCCUGGCUCUUGGCUUCUCUCAAGUGUUGGUAGUUAGCGUUUUCUGUUUAUUGUACCACACAAAAAUAAAUCUGGAUUUGUUUUGUUUUUCUGAUUUUUUUCUACCCUGGAAGUAGAGCAGAUUUCUCAGUGAAAAUGAUUUUGGAUAAAGUCUCAAAUAAUUAAUUGCUGGUUCCAGCUGACAGUCGCUGGAACACUGGAACACACUCUCUCUGCUGCCUUCCAGGAAGAACAAGGAUGGAAAGAGUUGACUGAGAACCAGAUAGAGCUUCCUUUACCAUGGCCAACCGAGAGAAUUUCAUAAAUACCUGCACGUAGGUUCACAAUUGUCUGGUGAAUGGAACACAACGGGCUUAGAAAAGUAAAAGCCAUGGACAAUACCCAAUUAUAUAGAUUUAGUUUUGAACUGUCUUUUAUUUGGUACUGUCGUUUGAAUCUGGGGGAUUUUAUGGUUAAAAUAAUACCAACAUAUAUCAAGUACAGAUUCCAUGCCAAGCCUGUGUAAGGGAGUUUCACAUUGGUGAUAUUAUCUCUAUUGACUCUCUUACUUACUAUCUGAGGUGGGGGCGGGGGUUGUGUUUGGAGGGGAGCACUCACUACUACCUAGCUGUGUCAGUUUUAGCAUUGCUGUAAAGGAUUACCCGAGGCUGGGUAAUUUAUGAAGAAAAGAGGUUUAAUUGGCUCAUAGUUCUGCAGGCUGUACAGGGAGCAUGGUGCUGCCGUCUGCUUCUGGGGAGAACCUCAGGAAGCUUCCACUCAUGUCAGAAGGAGAAAGGAGCAGGCACAUCACCUGGCAAGACCAGGAGCAAGAGGUUGGGGGGAGA
rnacentral:lncRNA from 10 species